UACGAAGGGGGCUAGCGUUGUUCGGAAUUACUGGGCGUAAAGCGCGUGUAGGCGGGUCUUUUUAGUCAGGGGUGGAAAUGCCCAAGGCUCAACCUUGGAACUGCCUUUGAUACUGGAGAUCUUGAGUCCGGGAGAGGUGGAGUGGAACUGCGAGUGUAGAGGUGAAAAUUCGUAGAUAUUCGCAAGAACACCAGUGGCGGAAGGCGGCUCACUGGCCCGGAAC
rnacentral:rRNA from 1 species